rnacentral:lncRNA from 1 species
GCCAAUCUCGCUGCCUGUGAGACCCGCCCAAAGCUGAUGAGGUAGAUUCUCCAAGACGGCCACCGCCCUUUUCUGCGCCAGGGUGUCUGGUGCGGAGGAGGGAACUGGGCUGUUUCUCCACUAAGUCCAAACUUCAGUCCUCGGUCUGGUGCCCUGUGGAGAUGCAGGUGGCAGUCUGGUGCACUCUAUCUCCACAGGAUCUGAAACUCUGCUUCUCUAUGCUGUCAGAACUCCACAGCGC